AUAAAUAGUCUUAAUCAUUCAGUUUUUAAAUCUAGAGACAACAUCUUAAUCAUUUAGAUGUGCAUUCAAAUUCAGACGUCUGAAUCUUAAAAAAAUAAAUGCAGCCUAAGUGCAAAUAAACGAGGCCUAACUUUAUUCCUACAGCCAAUUUGGCAUAAUCUCUCAAUUGUACCUGAUAUUAAGGCCCGUUUGGCCAUGAAAAUUAUAAUUUUUCGAAGUUGGAGUUGGACUUGAAGUUGGAGUUGGAGUUGUGUUUGGCCAUGAAUAUAAAUUAAAGUUGUUUUUGAAAAUUUUGGAGAGAAGCAUGAGUGAAAAAAGUGAAAACAAGCAAAACUUGUUUUCACUUUAGCAAAUAUAAUUUUGAAAUUGUAUUUGAAAUUCUUAUGGACAAACACCACAAUUUUAACUUUUUUCACUAAAGUAAAAUAAUUUUUCGAAAAAAAGUAAAAGAUUACUCAUGGCCAAACGGCUACUAAGUAGGCUUUGGAGAUGCCAUUUAAUCUCGUGAUUUGAAAUCAAACCACUGAAAUUAAUUUUUGGACAUACGAUUUAACGCGUAUUUCAUAUUAUGAGCCCAAAUUUUCAAAAUAAAACUUGAUUUAGAAUUUUCUUAUUUGAACAAACACAAAAAUUAACUCACGAGUUUAUAUUUUAUAAAAUAAUCUCAUCAUUUAUAUCUAUAUCAAUUAUUUAUUUCAUAAAUAAAUAAAAUGUAUAGUUCAUGUUAUCAAUCUUUAAACUAUUUAUAUUUCAUAUAAUCAUUAUUCUCACCAACAUAAAAUUUUUUAUGAAAAAGAGCGUAAAAUGUUCUUCAUCUAUUGAAAAUGAUAUAAAAUACCCUUCAUCCAAUUUUGAACUCUACAAUGCCCUUAAUAUCCACCUUUAGGCUCCAAAAUGCCCUUAUAUUAAACAACCCCAAUAUUAAAUUAAAAAAUUAUUAGUAACAUGUCAACUUUUCAUUGGUUUCAUUUAAUUAAUUAAAAUAUUAAAUAACCUAUGUUCUCUUUUAUUAUUUUUCGCAUUGUUUUCAUUUUUGACUUGGUGAACAAUUAUUAUAUAUAUUUAUUCCUGAUUAAUAUAUAUUUGUUUAAAAAUUUACACAUGGACAUUUUUUGUGUGUUGCAUUUUUCUAUAUGAUUUUGAAUGUGAAUCUGAUUUUGGAUCUUGUAGUGAAAAAUAUACACCAAUAUGCUUGAAUAUUAUUAGUUUGAUUUUUUUCUCUAAUUUUAUUGUUUCUUAAUUUCAUGAGAGUUUGAAUUUAAUGGGUCAUAUUUAAUUUCAUAGAAUGUGCGAAAACGGAACUCAAACUAGACUAAGUGAGCUCUUGAUCUCUAAUAGCUUGUGUGUAAUUAGCUUUAUGGGUUUUACAUUCUAUGAUGAGGAAUUUAAUUUUGAGGCAUAUGAAACUGGAAGUAUUGCAACUAUUAAUGAAUUUAGGCAAAAACAGAAGGGAUCGUUUGGUAGAGUGUAUUACAAAAAUAAUGCAUGCAUUAGUCUUGUAUGUCACACCCCUUUUUAACUAAAAAAAUUAACAUUAGGUUGGAAAGGGUUUUUAUUAUCAAAGUGACAAAAGGAGAAAAUUUGUUUUGAAAAGAACUUUUAACAAUCAAAAUUUAGAGUCGCCACUUGGCAUAAUUCAGUGUGCCAAGUCACCUUUGGAAAAUCCUUUUCAAAACGGUUUCUCUUUAAAAAUUGAUUUGCGAACAGAGACUUCGGUUAAGGAAUUCUGUUGAUCGAGGGAAAGGUAUUAGACAUCCCUCGAUCUUGUGCUUCGACUAUGGUCGUUUGGUGGAUCAUAUCAGCUAGUUUGGCACUAUGAAUGUAUAAACCACACAAAACAAUCAAUCAAACAAACGAAACAAAAUCAAUCCAAAAAUAUAAUGUCCAGUCCAAUUAUACAGUCCCAAAGUAGAAAAAUGUGUAAGUAUAAAUCUACGCUAACCUAUACUAAUCCUAAACUACGCUCCAAUGCUUUACCCGAUGCCUUGGGCCUUGAUCACGAACCUCCUUCGAAAACAGGAUACGUUAGGGCAUUCCCCGGUAAAUAAAUACACUUUUCUUCGGGGAUUCCCUGACCAAAUGAGUACAAUUGAUCAAAAUUCAUAAAAUAAAAUCAUUCAACAAAUAUUUUCAACAUUCAAUAAUCCACAAGUUCUAAAUUUAUCUACCCAAACCUAUUAUUUGCCUACCGGCUCGACCUAUCAUAAUUCUAUCACGUUCAACAUCACCAAUAAAUCAAAAUUUAUCCAAAUUUACUUUUAUCGAGACCUAUCUAUUCUCACAUUUAUUCUCAAAAUAAUUAAUCAACUCUUCAACAACUAAUCCGAAUUUCCACAUUCAAAUCCAACAUCAACCAACACCAAACAAAGAUUCAAACAUGUCAAGCAACACAUCAUUCACAUUCACGUAAAAAAUUAAAGGGAGAGAACAUAAGAUUGUACCUCAAUUUUUAUUUCAACUCGUCAAAAGUAUGUGAUUAGAGCUUCAACCUGAAUGCCUCGAACGACAAAACCUCAACCACGAAAUCAACUCGAUAUUGAAAAAUAACUAUCGGACAGAUUUAAACCAAGAAGAAGACGAAGACUGAUGAACCAAGAAACGAUGAUGAUGAACCAAUCGAGACAAAUAGAACCCAAAACCCAAACUAGUACGAGCAACCGGAGCGUUCAAAGCAGAAAUCACGACAAACACCCAAACUCGUAUGUGAAAAUUUAUGGAAUUAAAUCAAAUCGAGCGAGUUCGGCGGUGAAAAGUGUAUUUCGGUGAGAGAUUCACCAAAAAAAUCAACACUGCCGGAUUUUCGUCAACCUCCUCGAUUUUCGUUCACCCGUCGAAGUUUCUCCCAUUUUUCGAUCAUUGUUUUUCUGUCGUGCGUGUGUAUGUGGAUUACUCCCUUACCCGAUCUCCCUCUCACUAAUUUUUCUCUCCAUUUUUUGCUCACUGUAUCUCCUUCCCCAAUUUCUUCCUACUCCUCUUUUUUCCUUAUGUUACUGUGAAUGUAUUGUAAUCUUGAGUGUGUGUGCAUGAAAUUCUCUACUGUGUGUGUGAUGUGUGGAUUUCAAUGAUGUGAGUUGUGUGUUAAUGGUGUGAGGUGAGUGUAAAAAAUGGAGGAUCUGUGUAUGUAUGGAAUUCUGUGAAAUGGAAAAUUGGAUAUGUGUAGUGUAUUCUGUGUAUUGCUAAUUGUGUGUAUAUAUGAGAUGAUGUGUUCUAUCUGUAAAUUCUCAUGUCCCAAAUUAGUUGAGGUGAAAAAGGGGUGAAAAACGUGAGAAUGGGUAGGGGUAGAGGUAGGGUACGUGGGGUAUGUGGUGAUGAGGUGGGUGAGGGGUGUGAGUUGGUUG
rnacentral:lncRNA from 1 species